GGAGGCGUCGCAUAGUGGUCUAGUGCGCUCGCUUGGAAAGCGAGUAAGGUGAAAGCCUUCGAGGGUUCAAAUCCCUCCGCCUCCG
rnacentral:tRNA from 1 species